UACAGAGGUCUCAAGCGUUUGUUCGGAUUCAUUGGGCGUAAAGGGUGCGUAGGCGGAUUGCUAAGUCAGGGGUGAAAUCCUGGAGCUCAACUCCAGAACUGCCCUUGAUACUGGCGGUCUCGAGUCCGGGAGAGGUGAGUGGAACUGCGAGUGUAGAGGUGAAAUUCGUAGAUAUUCGCAAGAACACCAGUGGCGAAGGCGGCUCACUGGCCCGGUACUGACGCUGAGGUGCGAAAGCGUGGGGAGCAAACAGG
rnacentral:rRNA from 1 species